GCAGUGAGCUGAGAUUGUGCCAUUGCACUCCAGCCUGGACAGGAAGAGUGAAACUCCAUCUCUUCUUCUUGCCAUGUGAGACACUGGCUCUCCCUUUGUCUUCCACUGUGAUUGUUAAGCUUCCUGAGGCCUCACUGGAAGCUGAGCAGAUCCAGUGCAAUGCUUCCUGUAUAGCCUGCAGAACUGUCAGCCAAUUAAAUCCCUUUUCUUAGAAAUUACCCAGUCUCAGGUAUUUCUUUAUGGCAAUGCAAGAAUGGCCUAACAUACCUGGCUAAAAUAAUGGCCCCCUAGUAUAGAUAUUUUGACUACUAAGAAAUCCAAAGAUAUGUGAGCUCAGAAUUCCAGGUCUAGUCCAUCUUUCUAGAACAUUUAAAGUCCUCUGCCUUCUUCUGCUGACAUAAACAACUGCUUCUGCUGUCACUGAUUGAGUGCCUACAUUAGCCAAGCUUAGUAUAAGACACUUUAUAUUUAUUUUCUCAUUAGGCUUUAGAGUCAUUACUUAGUUAUUGAUGCUGUUUUAUUCCAGAUAAUGAAUCUCUGGUACAGUAAGGUUGUGAUUUACCUAAAGUUGCACAACUGGAGGGGUGGACCCAAGAUUUAGCAGAAGUAACUACCAGCACCAUAUGGUUAUCAGGUUAGCAGUGGAAUAGUACCUGGUUGAGAGAGCCUGUGGGAGUUAAAAUCCUGCUUCCCAAGCUGUGUACUCUGGGAAGGGACUGUCUCUGCUUAAAAGAAGAGGGACUUGGUACCUUCACUAGUUAUGUUUCUAGUAUCUACCUUGUAUGUGUCUACACAGUUCGUGUCCUGUGUCUUUGUUUAUGCUGUGCCAUCACUUAAAUGCCCUCCUCAUCACUUCUACAUGUUCCAAUCCCCGUUUACCCUGAGCAUAAUUGAAAUGGCAUCUCCUUCAUGAAGUCUUGCCUAAUAUCUGCCACCACUUCCACCCUGUCCCAGUGCCAGAACUAGCCUUCUGUUAAACUCGCCUCCCUAGUACUUUAAUUGUGUAGUUUCUCCUGUAGAACAUCCUCCCUCAUUUAGAAUAAUACAUGCCCCUAUGUUAUUGACUGUGUUUGUAUGGAAGCAUUUUUAGAGCAGGGAACAGAUUUGGUUUUUCUUUGUAUCCCCCAGAGUCGCUUACCAUGUGUCCAUCAUGCAUAGUAAGUAUUCAGUAAAUAUUUGUUGCAUGAAUUUAAUGCACAAGCUAAUCGUAAUCCUAGAUUUCUAGACCAAGAGAGACAAGCACAUUCUUUCUAAGAUUUAUAUUAGAAGAUAUUUACAUGAUUUAAAGUUUAGCUUCCAUAUGUGUAGCUAACUUUUCAUUAUGGAAUUUAUUACGAAGACUAAAACUGUAAGCAGUAUAUAUGAGCCUACAUAUGUCUCCUGAGAUACUUUACCCUGCAUCCUAGAGUACAGAUUUUGUAGUUUUGUGAACAUUCUGGGGUUCUGUUGGAGUGUGUCUACAAAUAAAGACUUCAGAAAGCAUCCCUUUGCUCUGAAUAAACUGGAAGCUCAUAAACAUGCUGUAGUCUUAAAUAUUUAACUUGCUAAUAAGCAGCUUCUCUAAGAAAUUUUUCCUCUGUGGCUCCUAUCAGAAUUAUAAACAAAAGGAAAGAUAGGCCAGUCAGCACAAAUAUCUGAAAGGCACAAAUAUUUCAUUGGGAAUAACCAAAAUGUUUUACCACCUAUGUAUAGGGAUUUUGAUAUCUAGGGUAUUAAAAAAGUCAUUAUGGAAAUGUAUUAAAUAUCUUAAAAUAUAAUCAGUAAUGUUGGAUUCUGAAAGAGCCAGAGCAAAACUGUCUGUGGGCAUUUAUGAAAUAAUUUAAACAGCCGGUACAACUUGCGGAUAACUUCAUGAAUACUCGACAGAAUAGUGAAAGGACUGCAUUGUUCUUUGUUGUAGAAAGAUGCCACUCAGGCAUAACAUCGGAUUUUCAUAGUGUCCGAUUUCUAGUCUGUCCUACCUCUUCUUUUAAGCUCUGUUUGUUACUCACAUGACCAGUUUUCAUGAGACCAGUAUCAAGAAUGGAGUCCCCAACAAAGAAUUUUCUGGAGGUUGAUUGACACCCAGGGCUGUAACUCAUGAAAUGUUUCUUUUAAGGCUACAGAAUGUAUCUAAACAGCAAUGUAAAUGAGGAGUUAAAGGUGUGCAGUAAUGAUUGUGGCUAGAGGCUUUCGGCACAAAACUUCAUGCCUACUAGCUAUGUUCGAGCCAUAACAAUAACUGAACCCAGAAUUCUGAGCUGACAUACCUUUGGAUUUCUCAAAAGUGAAGUUGGAUCUUCAUGACAUAUGGGAAGAGGUUGGACUUUGGACUUUGGAGUGAAACAUACUGGGAUUUCUUUCCGACCCUAUAAACUGCUUCAUUGAGAAGGUUAUUUGGCCCCUUUAAGUCUCAGUUUUCAAAUCUGAAUUUGUGUAAUGGUAGUAUUAACACUUUCUAUGGUUAUAGCCUUUACCCUGCUUUAAGCCAAAAAGUUAAAAGAUUUUUUUUCUCUUAUUGAAUAUUCACUUUUUAAAAUUUAAGUAAGUAUAAUCUCUUCAGUGUCUCUGGCAGUGAUGGGAUUUGAAAUCAGGAAGUGUUCAUGAACUUAUUAAGUCUGAGUUUUUAAAUUUAUGCUAACAUGCUAUCUCUUCCUCUUCCCUUCCUUUCUAAUUUUUCUCUUAAUGUACAACUGGAUUGACCAUUUCAGAGAAAUUAAAGAGAAUUUUUACAUUAUUAAAUAAUACUUUCUAAAAAAGAAAGA